ensembl:lncRNA
UUUUUUAUUUUACUGUAAGUUCUAGGGUACAUGUGCACAAACCUGCAUUAACAGCAACACAGACCUUAGGUCUGAUAAGAAACAUUUACAUUAGGCGAUAUACCUGGUAUAUGUAAAUGUUUCUUAUCAGACCUAAGGUCUGUGUUGCUGUUAAUGUUGGAGAGGCAUCAUGAGGCAUGUCUGACCCCCACUUGCCAUCAUGGCCUCAAACAGUCUCUCAGGUUAAAUUUUAAAAGAGCCCUGGCUGGGGAGGAAGUGCAUUCAGAAGCUUAGGGGGCCUUAGAAUGUGAUUUUUGGUUUAUACAGGGAAUAUGUAUAUAAAAGACUGAAGAGAGGUUUUUAAUGUCCAAGACUGUGCAGGUGGUUAGGAGCUGAGUCGGAAUUCACACCCGAGUCGGUUGGGUUUCAAAGACUUGCUUUUAACCACUGCAUUCUACUGUCACCUGAGACAUCAGGGACCUAACUCAUCUAAGGUGGGGGGAAUAAUGCCAUGCCCGUCAUAAACAGAACUUGUGGCAGCUUUUAAACACACACAGUUUCUAUGACUAAUACAGAGUUUCUACAGCCCCCUCACCUGACUCCUGGCCGCCUGUACUUGCUGAGCAUGUGGGAGUAUUAAUUCCGAGUCCCCGAGGGGCAGCCUCAGGGUCUAUUCCAAGUGGUCUUGAACUCAAAGAACAAAACUUCAGGAUAACAGUGGGGCUGGACCUAGACUAACCCAUUUGAUGUUUCCGAAAUGUAUUCUGUCAAAUUAAACACUUCUGCGUAAAUCGAGGUCUUAUUCUCAGAAACGGAAAAGGUCCAGGAACCAUCUGAAAAGUUUGCAUCUCAAUGCUGUACAUGUAGUAAAUAUUCAAAUAUCAUUUGACAUCAACAUUGUAAAGAAAAUGGUGUUUUCCGAGAAGCCUCAGUGCCCACCACCCAGGAAAUGUGUGAAGUAAUUUUUCCAUAAUUUUCUUAUCAUAGGAGGUGAUAUAUAUUAGCCAAAAAUGCAUGCAGAAUGACAAUUAACUCAUAUUUUUAGUCUAACCAUUUGGCCAAACAGCAGACAAACUAAGCAAUGUGGUUCUUGCCACUUUGUUUUGAAAUGUCAAAAAGUAGAUGCAAGUUUAGUGAUUAGCAAAUGUUUUCUACAUCUACUAAUUAAUUGGCUUAAAUGAUUUAGUUAUCAUCAGAUGUUGGAUGGGAAGGCCUGACUCAUUGUUCUUUCUUCCCUAAGUUUAGCUUUUCAUUUGUGUGUUUUUAAAAAUAUAAAGUAUGGCCACGGUAAAAGUCUGGAGAAUUCAGACAGAUAUUAAAAACGAAAGUGAAAAGUCACUCAUAACCAGCCAGAUAUAAGUGCUUUUUCAAUUUUGGUUUGUGUCCUUCCAGAUGUAUUUUUAUGCACAUACAUAUAUAUACAUUUGCAAACUGUAAAUAUAAAUAUAGUUUUAUUACAAAAACAGGGUCAUAUGAUGCAUACGGUUCAGUCAGAAACUGGAUUUUUAACCUAACAAUAUAUUAUAUGAAAAUCUCUAAGCAAAUGUGCUACCAAGUUAAAACUGCAUAUGCUCCUGUGUAUGGAUACACUUAAUUUAGUUUUUGUUUCAUAUUUAUUCUACUUAAACGUUUUGGUUUUAUGGAAAACACUAGCAAAUAUGCCAAUG